CCCUUAGAUGUUCUGGGCCGCACGCGCGCUACACUGAUGCAUUCAACGAGUCUAAAACCUGCUCUGAUAGGGGUGGGUAAUCUUUUGAAUGUGCAUCGUGAUUGGGAUAGAUGAUUGCAAUUUUUCAUCUUCAACGAGGAAUGCCUAGUAAACGCAAGUCAUCAGCUUGCAUUGAUUACGUCCCUGCCCUUUGUACACACCGCCCGUCGCACCUACCGAUUGAAUGGUCCGAUGAAAUCUUUGGACUGAGUCGCCAAGCGAUUCGGAAAAUCGAUUAAGUCUUACCAUUUAGAGGAAGGUGAAGUCGUAACA
rnacentral:rRNA from 1 species